GUCUGAGCUGAGUGAAGCCGGAAAAAUGCAUGGAGAUUUAUCAGCUGAAAGCAUUCUUGAAGCAUCACAAAAGGGCAAAAAGAAAUCAUCGAGGCUUACACACUUUGAUCAUUGCGAAGGACAUUGGAUUUACAUACGCAAGAAGAGGAUUCGAAUUCAAAAGAGGUCCAAGUUUCAUCUUGGAGCUGGUGGACCAUUUCAUGUGCUUACCAUGAUUGGUAAUAAGGGCUACAAUUUGUGCUUUCAAGGUUUGGAUUCGAGGUUGAAUCAUUUCGAAGAGAGAGGGGAUGAUGUGAUUUGGGAAAGACUCCAAGCCACCACAAAUUUAAUGAUAGAUAGAGAGCGGCCAAAACCAAGAUUGAGCUUGAUUGGAGUUGUUACUGCCGGUCGAUUCUAUGUUGGAGCCAAGGAAAUCAAUGGAAUGGAUUUAACAAUCUUAAGGAUGAGAUUGAUCAGCCAAAGUGCAAAUACAAUGUUAGAAGGUCGAAGUCUGAAACAAAAGGAAGGCGACGUAACAUGAACAGCAAGACAGGAACCCAAUUGUAAAGCUGUACAAUCGCACAACAUUGGAGCCUUGCGAUCGCACAACGUGGUGCAAGGAUCUGGCGGAC
rnacentral:lncRNA from 1 species